UUGCGUUGCGUUCCUCCGCGCGAGGCCGCCGCCGCUGCAGCAGCUCUCUCGGAUCCAACACGAAGCUUGCGACGAAGGGCUUGGAGUUGGCCGUGAGUGCUCGAGGUGAAGUGGCGGCAUGAGUUUCUGUAGGGGGGGGAGGGGCGCACAUUAGGGAAGUCAGCGGCCGGAUCCGAGCGCGGAUGAGGCCAGGUUGCCACUUGGGGCCCAUGUCGGUCAGAUCCAGGCAACACAUGGGAGUCGGCGUGGCGGCAGGGUAGUGCCGAGGCAGGAAGGAGGCACGGGACGACACAUCGGCGGGUCGUGGUGCACUGCACGAGAUGAGUGACAUGAUGUAAACAACGCUGUAGGCAUUGAUGCCACACAUGCGUCAUUUUCUACUGCCGAUACUGAUUCUUGAGGGCUACUGGCACUGCCGCCGGGUAUGAGCAGGAACUGCCUCCAUUGAGAACUCUGGGUACUGCCGCUGCCGACGACCAUCGAGCACCGAGUUGGAACUGCCACCAUCAAGGAUGACAGGCCGCCAUUGAGGUUGAUUGUUUUGGCGGCGCCUUCCCACUACCAGUCUGCACCAUCACUGUUGUAUUCUGAGCAGCCGGAGAACCCCUACGGUUGCAAGAUUCCUGUAACUUGUAUUUGAGAUGCAUGUCCUAAUCGUCUUGGUUGUGGUCAGGUGUGGUAUGCAGGAAUCCGUCAGAAGAAUGUGGCACAUAAUAAUAGUUUCAUCAUCGCAUCUUCAUGCUACUUCCAGUUAAGUGCUAGAAAAAUAAAUGCCCGAGACAUGUUUUAAGGAAUUCAAAGACGAGUUCCCUUUGAAGAGCAAGCAAUCAUAGUACGGAGCAAGAUGAUUCGAAAUAGAGGUUCCCAUAAUUAGAGGCAAUUGAAUCAUAUAUGAUGAUUAGCCUAAUGUGCUGCUAUAACAUUUAAAACAUUUUUUUGACCUGGGAGCAAUCAGCAAACUCUGACCUCUUUGUAAUGUUUGAUUACCAUUUAUGUAGGGCUCUGUACUGCAGGACAACAUAUUCACUAUCAAUAUAUGGUCUAUUUCCAAUAUAAGGUGUAUGUCAAGUUAUACACUGACUACAGAAAGUGAUGCUCGACGACGAACAUCUGCUCGAGGACACCCUGCUCGACGAUGCUCCUCUUCGCUAGCAUCUCCAUUGCAUGAUAGGGGGAGAGUUCUUGUACUCAGAGCAGCUGUUGAUCUGCAGCAACUCUAGAAGUAGGAUUUAGGAUAAUCAUAGUUUCAGUUUGCCAAGCAGGGAGUAUAAUUUAACUGGAAAUCAACCAACUAUUGCUUUGAACUGGAGUAUAAUUACCGAAGCGGGUCGAAGUGGGACGAUGUGGUUCGGUGGUCAACGGCGGCUGCGCGGGAUGCAGUAUGGUAUGGCUUGAGCAUCUCGAGGAGGGGCUCUCUCCGCAAGGCAUCCUCUACGCCACGGCGGAGGUGUUCGAGUAGUCUGUCCCGGGGCUGCGCGUGGAGCACGUCGACGUCUCCGUCUUGCCAUUGCUCAGCACCGCCCUGCCGGCUGGGGUUCUUAUUUGCCAUCGAGGCCUUCCGCAACUGGGACCAUGGUGCCUGAUAGCUUCCUCUCCGGCUGGAUCGGCAGUCUAUCCACCCAAACAAGAGGGUCCUCAUGGAGAGUAUCCACAAGUCCGAGGCUGAGAAGGAAAGAGAGAAGACCCUCUCUGACCAGUUUGAGGCUUCAGUUUGAGGCCAAGCGUGCUAAGAGCAAGGCUAGCUAGCAGGGAGAGGAAUAUUGCGAGGAGGCAGGAGAGAUUGGCUCAGGUAAGAUGACUUUCACUUGAGCCCUGUCUAUUUCCUCACAUAGUUUGAUUUGUGCUGCAUUAUAUUGGUACUGAAAUACAUAAUGCGUGCACAUGUCUUCUGUUGGAUGUUUCAGAGAUGCUUAUGCAGGGUUUCUUUAAUCAUUUUGGUUCAUGGUACCAGCUAAUGAAAUUUACGUGCUCUGAUGAUGAAUUCGUGCCAUGUCGAGUUGGAUUGGCGGUGGCGUAUUUUUCCUCUUGUAGUCAAAUUAGUGAGAUGCUUCGUUCUCUUCUUUAUGUGAACGUACAUGUAUGACCAGUGUAAUUAGGUGCAGUAGUUUUGGUCAAUGUCAAAGCAGAAGAGAGCUACAUGUAUGACCAGUAUUGAAUCACGGCGAGAGAGUAAUGUAGCUUCGUCCCUCCCUGAUGCUGCUAAUGCAAGAUGCAUAGGAAUCUUAUUCAAUAUCAAAAAUUGACAUACCGUGCAAUCAUGUCUAAUGUCUUUCAUUAAAUCUCCGUGGAGGUGCCGGCCGGCUGGUACAUAUGUCAGUGCAUCAUCUAUCUCAGACUCUCAGUCACAGCUAUCUAAUUGGUGUAUAUUCAUCUCCAAUUACAGCCUCAUAAUUUUUUGGACAUUCAUUUACAGCCCGAUCUACUUGGAUGUGCAGACCUGGGAGUUGGAACAAUUCACCAAGAGAAGCCAGUUCGUGUAUAACAGAAUGGGUGGAAUUUAUCAUGAGAUCCUACCCAAAUCCGAGUACUUCUCCAAGGCACUGUACACCUUCCAUUUCGCUCAAAACAAUCUCUCUGUAGGCUACUUCACCAAUAAGACUACCAAACAUAUUGAGGCCUAUGACCCCAAUCCGAAGGAGCGGUUCACUGUGGCAAUGCAGAUGCCCCGAGAAGAGGUAGUAGUGGUGGUGCGGGCGCGCCGUGGGCGAGGUGGGCUUCGGGUGUAGCGGCGGGUGCGGCUGCCCCAUCGAUGGCAGCGUGAUGCCCCCCACCGUCGGGCCCACACCACCGGACAUUGGCGGUGACCGGAGACUGUCGCGAUGAUUGUUGGUCGGUUGCGGAGCUUGCAACACGAGCUGGUAGCGCCAGCGUUGGCGAGAGAGUGAGGUGUCCCCAGUGCGGUAGGCGGGGGAAAGCUUAAGGCGACCAGUGCCCUCCGGUCCUCGUCGCUGCACGUCGAGGUCAAGUCUGAGGCUGCAAGCUGAUGCAUCCACAGACAUCAUCGUCGACUGCAUCUUCAACCUCCGGAUGCCGCUUCCGUACACUGCUUCGUCAACCUCAGCCGUGACCCUUCCUCCCGGUCGCCGUGUUUAAUAUCCUAUUCGUCGGCCGCCUAUCUCGAGCACCGCGAGCGGAGGUGGAUGCCCUGACUGCCAAUCACCAAGAAACUCCGCGGAAAGCUGCUGCAGAUAGGUGUUAUGCUGGUAUAUUCUUUCUGUAGCCUUUGUUCAGGUCCAUUCCUGUAAUAUUUUGGAGGACAUCUCCCAUUACAAUCGUUGGGGGUUUUCAAUUUAUGAGUAAGGCACGCGAAGCUCCCUUACAAACUUGACAAAUCGUACUUCGGAAUCAUUGCAUUUUUCUUCAUCGGCUUCGUCACAUCAAACACGUAAGCAAAAGGCAAUAUAUAUACUACUGGACCCUGAAGCCCCAAAUCAUCUUCUGUUUUCUAUGUACUCCCAUGAUUAUUUAGCAAAUGCCAAAAUAGUGUUUCUUUCAUGCGUACAUCGUUUCGUUUGGAGUUUUGCCCACUUGAUCUGAAUAUGAGGAAGGACAAAUAUCUUGUAGCAGAUCAGAUUCAGGUCAUGUCAUGAUUCCUUAAGGGCCUCAUUACUGGUGGUGUUUCUUUCUUCCAUGGUGAUUCCUAUUUUUCAUAGUUGUACUAGCAGGAUUAUCAUAACAACUAAGCAAAUGCCUAGCUGGAAAUUUGAGAGGCGUGUGAUCAGGUGUCAAUACUUAAAGAAAGAGCCUUUAGUUUUUCUUAAUCAGAAUGCAGAAAUUUAAGCGUGUAGAUCUUUGAUGAAAACAUAAUUAAGAUAUUGCUGAGGUAAUCUCAUGUUACCUUUGUAUUAUGUUAGCCUACUAAUUUACUAUAUCCAGGUCAUAAUAUUGUUGCUAUUUUCAUGAACUACGUAAUGGUUAAUGACACAACUCAAUGAACUAAGUAUUGAGAGCAUGGGCUGUUGCGGUGGACCGGUGGUAACGACAAGCUCAGAGGGUUUUGCCACUGUGAUCAUGUUGGUCGUGCUAGCACUGACAACGUAGAGUAUACAAUAUACUGCUGGGACCAGUGACACUUAUUCUACUUCCUUAACAGCGGGCAAAUUGGUAAUUUUUGGUCGAUAUAGCAAGUUUGAGAAGACCCAAUUUUGUUAUACUAUGUAAGUUGAUACACUUUUUAUAUGUUCGAUUGGUGAUAUUGGAAAUAGCUAAGCUUACUGGUGUGAUCCAUCUAAGAAAAUCUCACACAAUGACAUAAACCUAUAUCUAGAAUGAUACGAGGACUGUGAAAUAAGAAGGAUGUGAUGCUACUAUGUUCUGGUGGAUUGUAAGAUGGCA